CUGAGGCUAGCACUGCCAGGAGAGCCUGUUAAAAGAACAACAAAGACAAAGUAUAUCUAGAGUGUUCGUUCCUAUCCAAUAUACACUGUCGAUGAGAAAAUCUGCUCAUCAAAUCAAAGAAGGCCAAAGCAAAGAUCCCCAAACAACAAUCGAAAGUCAACCUGCGAUUGAAGAAUCAGUGGACCAAGGUCACUUCAAAUCUUGUCGCCCAUGGAACUCACCGCCAACAUCCUUUUCACGGAACAGUACUACAAAUUGCUCAAAGUGAACUAGCAACAGGAUAUGCUUCAAGCAAAAGGCUAUGCCGAUGAAAAAAUGGAAACAAACCUUUUGACACAGGAAAUCAAUUUGUUUUGAUCAUGCUGCACAAGACCAGUCAAGCUUUUGAUGUAUAUAUAGUAGACCAGUCAAGACAUGUGAGCUCUGCUGGGUAUCAAUGCUUUUAUGUGAAAUCUACUCCUUUUGAUAUAUAAAUUAUCAAAUAUGGUACAUGGUACUGCAGGUAAGAAGUUCACAGUUAAGUUAGAUUUUUAAAAAACCCAAGACAGCAGGUUCCUCCAUGUCAGGAAGUGUCACAGGAGGAAGUUGCGCUGGUGCUCAGGAAUAUGUUCCUCUCCCCAGUUGUCAGGUUGAUAAUGUAGAGAUUGUAGCUCAAAAGACCAGUUAGAAUUUUAAUGUAUACAGUUUUCUGUUGUCAGCCCUGCUGUGUAUCAAUGUGUUUUUAUAAAAUCCACUCUUUUGGAUGUAUAAAUCAUGACACGUCGUACAUGGUACUCCAAGGAACAAGUU